GGCCAGGCUGGCAUCAAACUCCUGACCUCAAGGGAUUUGCUUGCCUCAGCCUCCCAAAGUGCUGAAAUUGCAGGCAUGAGCCACCAUGCCUGGCCCAUCACAUUCAAUCUUAAUCCCCUGUUCUCCAAAUAUCCACUGUGAGUUCUCUGUUAUUCAGGUACGAAACUGUAGGCAACUGAGUGGAAGAUAGUUAUUGUGGAUAGAAAAGAAUGCAAAAUAGGUGUCAUUAGUGAUGUCAGACUGACAAUGCCACAUUGUUGAAUUGAUUGUUGGUAAUGAAUUCAUUCAGUCUUCCAUGUGUUUAUUCUUUCAUUCACAUAGUAAUCAUUUAUUUAAACAUUUAUGAAAAAUUUAGCAUAUGCUGGGCACUAUAGGAACAGAGAAAGAAAUAAGGCUCUUCUGAAAAGCAUAUAAAUAAAAGUAAAUAUGUUGGUCACACUCAGGCUUGUCUGAAACAAAUGAGAAAUCUCUGUAUAUCAGUAUAAAAAAACACUAAAUAUGAUUUAUUUAUAUUAGUAUAACACAACACUAAAUCUAAAUCUAAAUAUAUGUUAUUUAUUUUACUUUUCUAGCAACUUCUCAAUAUAGUCACACAAUACUUUGCACUAUAUAAAGUACAUUUCACACCUCAUCUUAAUCCCAAGCUAUAUUAAGAAAGCUAUUGUUUCUAAAAUAGUGGUAAUUAGUUAUAAAGGUGUUGUUACAGUAGAGCCACAUAUUCUUCCUAAAUUUUAAGAAUAUUGUACAGUCUGAUAUGUUAAUGUUUAAGAAAUUAACUGAUGUCUUCUGAAAAAAUGUAUUUAAUCCACAGUACAUGUGCCAUUACAUUUAACAAAACUAAAAAAAUAGCAACUUCUGUGGAAGGUAAUUGGAGAUACUUUAAUUCUGUAUAAAGAACAUGGCAUACUUUGAAUGCAAGUGUCAAAAAUUUACGCUUAUAGUCGGAUUCUACAUUCCACUUGGUGUUUUAGUGUGCCUCCAAAUUAUUGUAUUAUUUAAUGUUAUUUCUUAAUAAUGUUCCAAGUGUCUUCAAGAGAAUAGAAAAGAAUGUGUAAAGUUAGAACAAUAUAUAGAUUUCAGUAAAAUCAGUUGCAAUCAUUUCUCUUAUCAGUGUGAUUGCAGAUGAUUUAACAUUGAUAUAUUUAUCAUUUAGAAGGCUUUAAGAUACAUAUCAUGCAUUGGAUUUCACAACAAGUACAUCCUUUUCCAUGGCUAUUUGCUGUAUGAUAGCAGAAUAGGAGUGCUCUACAAGUUUUCACCUCAUCAUAACCUACUGAAAAAAAAAGAAUGAAUCAUCAAAUACCUACAGAGUGACAAUUUUAUAAUGGAGCUAUUGCGUUUGUUAGUGUAUUUAUGGUAUCUGAAUUAAUCACAGUUUUAAAAUUCUAUGAAAUCUUUACUUGAAAAUAUUCUGUCCAUAUAUAACAAUCUAUGCUGGCUAUUUUACAAUUUUGAUUAUUUUAUAACAAAUCAUUCUGCAUUUUCUCUAAAAUUUAUAUCUUGACAUUUUGAUGUAAGAGUCUAAUAGUGUUUCAUUUUAAAGAAUAAAAUAUGCAUGGAGUUUUGUAUGAGGAAAUUAUAACAAUAAAAGAAACAUAGGGCCAUUUGUCUGGCAUACUAAUUUUAGCCUUUAUUUCACCCAGUUAUACUUGGAAUUGUGAUUCUGCUCAUGAACUUGUGUCAAGCAAUGGACAGAACAUUUUUGAGUAGCGUUGAUGCCUUUUACAUUGUUCUGCUUCUCUUGCUAUUCAGCAAUGCACAUUCUGAUGUACCUGUAUAUUAGCAUAUGUAAAUUGAACUUAGUUUAAAAACAUCAAUUGCUUGUUUUAGGGCAAAUGCUAUGUUGGUGCAAAGGAGCUAGGCUGAAUAAUGUAUCUCUUCUGCCAUCAUUGAACUUGAAAGCUUAUAAGAAAGACAAGCAAAUCAGUAGGUACAAAAGACAUCUAACCAUUCAGGAAAUUCUGCCAACUCUCUUGAAUGUAUGUCCAGAAUUAGACCAUUUCUCACUAUCACCAUCACUGCCAUCUUGAUCCAAAUCACUCAUCACUCACCUGGACUAUCAUAGUAAAUCCCUCAUUCAUCUCUCUUGUUUCUGUUCUUGCUCCUCCCAACUCUUUGUCCUAACAUCAAAAAGUAACAAAAGUCAUUAAAAAAAUAAAAGUCAGAUUAUGUUACUCUUACACUCAAAACCUUCCAAUGGCUCCCUAAAUCACUUGCUGUAAAAUUCAAAAUACAAUGGUCUAAAGCGCUGUACAUCACCUGGUCCUGUGAAAACUCUGACACAAAUUCCUUCUCUUUCUCGUUUACUCUAUUCCAGCCACAAGGGCCUCUAUUUUGUUCCUAAACACUGUAAGCAUGCCCAAUUUUAGGCCUUUGCACUUGCUGCUCCCUCAAGUUGAAACAGUCUUCCCCCACCCCAUAUUGCUGUACUUAUUUCCAUCCACACUCAGAUAUUAUCGUAUUAGUGAGUCCUUCCGUUGUAGGUCAAAUAGCCACCUCCACCCUUGCAGCUUUUCCUGUUUUUUUUUUUUUCUACUGUGUUGUAUUUUUCUACACAUAGCUUACAUCCCUCUGACCCAUCAUUCAUUUAUUUGUUAAAUGUUCAUUGUCUUGUCAUACUAUAUGUAAAUACUGUGAGUAUAGCGAUUUAUGUAUUUUGUUCACUGCUACAGCUAUGGCUUGAAAAACUGUCUAUUUUUCUAACGUUUAUUAUCUCUGCUUUCAUUGUUUUCACCUGUUAUGUUUAUUUGAUAAGUCCUUAUUACUUUUUAAAAAAUAUUUCUAUAAAAAUCUUUGCCUUUUAAUAUUGGUCUUUAAUACAAUUACAUUUAUUAUCAUACCUGGUAUUGAAUUUUACUAAUUUUUGGUUUUUAUACUCUUUCUACUUUAUUGACCUUUAUGCUUUAUAUCUUUAUGCUUUUUUGGCAUUUUCUUUUUUAUAACUUUCCUAUAUAGACUAAAUUUUCUUUGCUUUUCUGUUCCCAGUAAUUUGAACAAUAUAUCUCCCGGUCUCGGUUUUAGAUUAUGGUCAUGUUUAUAUUUUUAUAAGUCACUGUUAAACCUAUUUCCUCUACUUAACAUGAGUGAGACGAGAGUCCUAGCUUUUGGCCAAGCUACAGCUACGACUGGUAUGCAGACAUUCUGGUUUGCCUUCCCGAAGGGAAUAUGCUUUAGAUAGUUGUCAUGAGAAGUUUUGUGGACACAGGGAACAUAAAGAAUUAUCAGUCUGGGAAGAGGAGUUUUUCUAGGGUGGCCCCAUCUGAGACUGGUCCCAGGCUCCACCUCAAAGUUUCAGUUCUGAGAUCUUGGAGGAACAUGUUGUACAUGGGAGUCACAUUGCCCUUUUCACCAGAGUAUCUCUGGUUCUCAGGUGUCCAAAGAUAGCACAUAACUGGGGAAAGGGAGCUCUUCUUGCUUUGGCAUGAAGCAUAGCGUAGCACUGAAAUUCAAAGACGUGAGGAAUUUAAAAAGCAGAGUCAAAUUUUCAAGUGAGGGAUUUGUAGCAGCCUGGGUUAUAAUAACCUUGUAUGCCAUUGUAGGCACUUACCAAAAGGGACCUUAGUGUGGUGCCUUUGAAUGGCUACACUAGUGAUGGACAGUAAGGAGCAGAGCUGAAGAAGGAGCUGAGGAACUGGCACAGAGCAGCUGAAAAGAAGUCUUUGUUAGCAUGUGUGACAUAGUUUUGGGUGCCUAGAAGUUGUUGGAAUAGAUUACUCCAAAAGGUAGAGGCUUUACACUAGUAGGUGUGAUAGUGGGAAGAUGGCUUAUACAGUCAAAUCCAAGAACAUAUUAUAACUCUACAUUCCCCUGAUAAAAAGCAACAAACUUAAUAUGCCUCUAUUUCCCAUUCCUCUUCUACUCAAUAUUUUCUAGUGUAAUUGAAAUUAGAGUGAAUUUUAAUUGAUUUUUUUCUUACUCUUACAUUAAAUAUCUUCUUUUUCAAGAAUAAUUUUUGCCCUUACAAUUUAAUGUUGUUAUAUUCACUAAAAUCAUUUAGAAAAAUGUUUGACUGGUGGUAGUGUUCUCUGGAAUUUUAUAUACGAUGUUUUCUUCAUUUAUGUCUUUUUAUUUUCCAUUAAUUUCUCACAAAAUACAUCUUUGUGUAAGAGUCCACGAUGUGUGUAUAUUUUUAUCCUUUGAAUAUCUGGUUAUUUCCUCCCAUUGUUUUUAGAUAGACAAGGGCUUAGCUUGGGUGUUGCUAGCUCUUACUCUCACCUGAACUCCAGAAUCCUGUGGCUAUCUAACGGUCAUCUCCACUUGAAAAGAUAUCUCUGUUAAUAUGUUACAUUAGGUAAUUGUAUAACAUAUUAACAGAGAUAUCUUUUAAAAAUUGAAAUUUCAGGGGCAUAAUAAUGUUAUUUUGGUUUUUCAGGGAAAUAUACUUGUUCUUAGGAUAUAUGUGUUGAAGUAUUAGGUGUCUUAGCAACUUUGAAAAUGUACCGCUCGGAUCUCCUGUAGACAGGAGCAAAAUUGACUACCCUGGUAGCUUUAUGUCAUGUACCUCCCUGUUCAAGCCAGUGUACCCUUCAUGCUGCUCCCAGUCUGUGGCUGUGCAUAGUAGGUGUACUAAUGCAACUCAUGCCCUUAAGAAGCGGGACUCCAUUAACAGAUGGCUUGGGCUCAAGGAUUGAGCCAUUGGCCUUAGCCAAAACUUACUCAGAAAUGUGCUGCAUUCUGAAAUUUUUUCUCCCCAGUCUCCUUGUCUCCCUGUUCUUCACAGGAGUCUCAAGUAUCUCUCAGCCUUCACCUGCUGCGCCAACUGUUUACUUCUCACAGCCCACACAAUACACCUCUUGUAAGUCCAAUUCUAUACUGGCACCUACUUCACAGAGGGUCUGAGCCUACAGGAUUACAUGCUAUAAUGUCCAAGUGGUUCAGAAGGAAAGUGUACGUGUGUGUGUGUGUGUGUGUGUGUGUGUGUGUGAGAGAGAGAGAGAGAGAGAGAGAGAGAGAGAGAGAAAGAGAGAGAGAGCAAGAGAGAUGGAGAGAAAAAAGAAAAAAGGAAGAGAGCAAAUGUUUCAAAAUAUUAAUAAUUGAUACAUUUAGGAGAAUACUAUGUGUAUUCAUUUCACUAUUCUUUUUAAGAUUUGAAAGUUUUUAAGUAAAACGUGGCUGCUAAAAUAUAAAAAUUUAAAAAUUACUAAAAAAAGAGAUAUAUAAAGCUCAACAUGUGUGUUGACGAGGCAUCUAUUUCCAAUUUCAACCUCUAUUCUCCCCAGUAACAAAUCCCUGAUUUUAUUGGGCCACAUUGCAUCCAACCUAGAAUUUUAUUUCAAUUAAAACAUCAACUGACUCUCACAUUCAAGCAAUGGAAAUACAAGAAAACAUGUUAUAUGGGAUUGUGGGAAAUCUUCAUAAAAGGUGGAAGAGCAACUACUGGAAUUGUCCUGAGUCUCUAUGAAGUUUAAAGGCUCUUCCUGAUAUUUGACAAGCCCUAGAACCUGCCAACAUGAAUAACAGUUACUGAACGUCCAGCGUGUAAAAAUCAAAACCAAAACUUUACCCAAUUCUAAUCUCUGAAGAUUUAAAGAACAAAAAGGAUGAUUCAUGUUUUUAAGGUGCUUACAGCCAAGUGGGUGUUCAGAAGUGUGCAUAAAUGAUGAAUGAUUACAUUUGUAUAGUGCUUUGCAAAUUACUAAGGUCCUAUAGACUUAUUGCUUAAUCCUUACAAUAACCUGGCAAGAUAGCUCUUAGAGAUAAGAGAAAUUGAGGUAACAUAUUUAGAAAUAAGCAGUUUGAGGUAAUUUUUUUUAAAAGAAAAGCAAUUUAUUGGCAGAGCUGUAGUAAAGUCUAAGUCUUUUUUCUCUAAAUUCACUGUUCUUUCUAUACUAUAGUAUGAAUUAAGUGCUGUAAGAAUUUAAACCAGAAAGAAAGAUGAUUGUAAAAUGGGAAAAUGGUAGAGACUUCACAAGGAUAAGUGGCUUAGCUUGAUUGCUAAGGAUAAGAGAACUGACAUCACCUGACUAUCUGGCAGGGAUAAAGACAUAAACCAUUCCGUGUCAUUGAGGAAGGGGAUGUGCUGGGCCUUCUCAGGCCCACUGUGUAGCAUACCACUCUCAGGGCUCUUAACAUGGAAUGCCCUCCUGGUCACCAGGCUCUCAGUUUUUCAACCUUCUGAGUGCAUUUUUCCAAGUUGGGCAAAAUUUGAAAAACCAAGUUACAUGCAUGUGUGGGAGGAAAGAAGAAAUCUUGAUUGCUUUUUUAAUUAUUUAUUUCUUUUAAUUUUUUCAGCACAAUUGCUUCUCUUUAGAAACCUACUCCUCAUAAGAAAGGACAUUUUAAAUUGGAGCAAUAAAUAUUUACUCACUUGCAGCCUUUAGAACCAUAAUGUGCUAAUACCUUCUACAAAAGCUAAUGUCUUAAGGUGGUUUCUACCUAAGGUUAUUUAUUCUUUUGCUCGCUAUUUAAGAUUGUUCACACAUCCCCUAUACCUGAAAUAAAGUGAAAGUAUAUGUGUAUUUUUUAUCACUCUG